rnacentral:rRNA from 1 species
AUUGAACGCUGGCGGCAGGCCUAACACAUGCAAGUCGAGCGAGCGGCGGACGGGUGAGUAAUGUAUGGGGACUGCCCGAUAGAGGGGGAUAAAUUCUGGAAACGGUAGCUAAUACCGCAUACUAUCGGAUAACCCAUAUGGGAUGAGCUAGUAGGUGAGGUAAUGGCUCACCUAGGCGACGAUGCCUAGCGGGUCUGAGAGGAUGAUCGGCCACACUGGGACUGAGACACGGCCCAGACUCCUACGGAGGCAGCAGUGGGGAAUAUUGCGCAAUGGGCGAAAGCCUGACGGAGCCACGCCGCGUGUAUGAAGAAGGCCCUAGGGUCGUAAAGUACUUUCAGUCGGGAAGCGGUACCGAAACAGGAAGCACCGGCUAACUACGUGCCAGCAGCCGCGGUAAUAC